rnacentral:rRNA from 1 species
CGACGUGAGGAACCUGCCUUUCAGAGGGGGACAACAGUUGGAAACGACUGCUAAUACCGCAUAACAUAUGUUUGUCGCAUGGCAGAUAUAUCAAAGAUUUAUCGCUGAGAGAUGGCCUCGCGUCUGAUUAGCUAGUUGGUAGGGUAACGGCCUACCAAGGCGACGAUCAGUAGCCGGACUGAGAGGUUGGCCGGCCACAUUGGGACUGAGAUACGGCCCAGACUCCUACGGAAGGCAGCAG